UCGUCUGCUCUCGUGAAUCAUCGUCGUCGUCCUCUUCUUCCAACUGGAUGCUGUCGUCUGCUCGCUGUUUCGCCAACUGCAUCGUUAGAACGUGAAGCGUGAACCGCAUGGCCCGAAAAACUCGCCGAAAACGGGCCGAACCGAAUUCGGAGCCGAACUUUUUUCGUGCCCCACCCGGAUGGAGGCGAAGUGCACGCCGAAAUUCGGCCGAAAACUGUCAUGGUUGCUAAGUUCAUGUGCAGUAACUGUCUCGUUACAUAUAUUGUGUAUGCGCUUACUUCGACAGUGUUUUUGCGUAUUCCUCCUUAAAUGAGUUUUUAUGCUGUGUUAAAUUUCCUGCAUCGCCGUACUACGCUUGGUAAGGUCGAAAAUAUGAAUAGAACUUUCCAGAUGCGAAACUGUGGCGCGACCACUUGCCCUCUUCAUCGUUCUCGAUUACUGCGUUCGCGUUUACCUAACUUUGCAUUGCGAAUUUGCGAUUAUUCUUCCAAAUACCGAUUUCUCGCUUCGUGUUGUUGGACGACCAUGGAGAGAAGACGACGGUUGCUGCUGCUGAGGGAAAUCUUGCUUCUAAAGCAACGGCAGCGCAUGUACCGCUCUUCGCGGGUCCGCCCUGUAUGGAGAAACAGGAAAGACGAAAGCGAGUACUUCACUGCGAUGAAAACCAUGAGAGAGACGAACCCGGAGCUUUUCUUUAAGUUCUACAGGAUGACUCCCGAGCUGUUUGACAAGCUCCACGAGAUGGUCAGGGCACAGCUCACCAAGCAGCAUUGCGUGAGGGAGCCAGUUUCUUCCGGCGAGCGCCUCGCCAUGACACUAAGGUACCUCUCCUCUGGCGACCCAAUACAGGAUAUUGCUCUCAGCUUCAGGGUCGGGGUGGAAACAGCUCGUGAGGCGAUCCAUCUCACGUGCCAGGUGAUUUGGGAUACCCUCUCACCAUUAUACAUGAAGCCUCCCACCGAAGACGAAUGGAGGAAAAUAGCGGAUGACUACUGGCAACGUUGGCAGUUUCCAGCAUGUGUAGGUGCCGUCGAUGGCAAGCACAUACAGAUAGAAUGCCCAAAGAAGAGCGGGAGUUUGUUUUUUAAC